GGAUUUGAACUUUAGUUCAGUGGUAGAGCAGCUGCCUUACAUGCAGAAGGUCACAGAUUCAAUCUCUGGCACCUCCA